rfam:Kazachstania saulgeensis genome assembly, contig: scaffold_04
GGGCAUGUGGUCUAGAGGUAUGAUUUCCGCUCGGGGUGCGGGAGGUCCCGGGUUCGAUUCCCGGCUUGCCCC